rnacentral:rRNA from 1 species
GAUGAACGCUGGCGGCAUGCCUAACACAUGCAAGUCGAUCGGUAAGGCUCUUCGGAGUACACGAGAGGCGGACGGCUGAGUAACGCGUUGGAACACACCCUGCAGUGAGGGAUAAGACACCGAAAGGUGUUCUAAUACCGCAUACGGUCUUCGGAUUAAAGCAUUUAUGCGCUGAAGGAGUGGCCUGCGUCAUAUUAGAUAGUUGGUGAGGUAAUGGCUCACCAAGUCGAUGAUGUGUAGCUGGUCUGAGAGGAUGAUCAGCCAGACUGGAACUGAGACACGGUCCAGACUCCUACGGGAGGCAGCAGUGAGGAAUAUUUCACAAUGAGCGAAAGCGUGAUGGAGCAAUGCCGCGUGCAGGAUGAAGGCCCUCGGGUUGUAAACUGCUUUUAUAAGAGAAGAUUAUGACGGUAACUUAUGAAUAAGGGACGGCUAACUACGUG